rnacentral:rRNA from 1 species
UCGCUCUUCAACGAGGAAUCCCUAGUAAGCGUGAGUCAUCAGCUCACGUUGAUUACGUCCCUGCCCUUUGUACACACCGCCCGUCGCUACUACCGAUUGAAUGGCUUAGUGAGACCUUUGGAUUGGGUUUGGGAACGGCAACGUAACCUUAUUCCGAGAAGUCGGUCAAACUUGGUCAUUUAGAGGAAGUAAAAGUCGUAACAAGGUUUCCGUAGGUGAACCUGCGGAAGGAUCAUUAAUAAUUUUUUCCAUCCAUUUUUGGGGGAAUUAUUUGUAUUCAAAUUCCACUCUUAAAUUUUUAAAAAUAAAAUUUAUAUAACAAAUAUAAAAAGACAACUUUCAACAACGGAUCUCUUGGCUCUCGCAUCGAUGAAGAACGCAGCGAAAUGCGAUACGUAGUGUGAAUUGCAGGUUUACGUGAAUCAUCGAAUCUUUGAACGCAAAUUGCACUUUCCAGUACUCUGGGAAGUAUGCCUGGUUGAGGGUCGUUAAAACAACAAUCGUAAAAUUUUUUACGGAUUUGGGUUUUCCGGCAUUUUUUAAAUGCUGGUAACUUUAAAAUGAUCUUUUUUUGGUUCAAGUUAAAACGUUCUAUAUUUACAUGGUUCGUUGAAAACUUACCUAAUAUGUUAUAUAUUAUGUUUACACUUGUCAUUUUAAUCGAUUCGUGCAAGCAUAUAUUUUUUUUAUGACCUCAACUCAAGCAAGAUUACCCGCUGAACUUAAGCAUAUCAAUAAGCGGAGGAAAAGAAACUAACAAGGAUUCCCUUAGUAACGGCGAGUGAAGUGGGAAAAGCUCAAAUUUUAAAUCUACCUGGUUUCCAGGUCGAAUUGUAAUUUGAAGAAGCGUUUUCGGUGUUUCGAUCUGGUUGAAGUUCUUUGGAACAAGACAUCAUGGAGGGUGAGAAUCCCGUGCAUGAUCAGAUCGAGAUACUCCAGAUACGCUCUCUAAGAGUCGAGUUGUUUGGGAAUGCAGCUCAAAAUGGGUGGUAGACUUCACCUAAGGCUAAAUAUCAGCGAGAGACCGAUAGCGAACAAGUACCGUGAGGGAAAGAUGAAAAGAACUUUGAAAAGAGAGUUAAAUAGUACGUGAAAUUGUUGAAAGGGAAACGAUUGAAGUCAGUCGUGCCGUUGAGAAAUCAACUUAGCGAGUUUCAGUUUUUGAAUCUUUGAUAGGGUCAAACCAUCAAGGUUUUUAAGUUGGGACUUGUUGAGUGUACUUUCUUUUUGGCAGGUCAGCGUCGAUUUUGGGGGUUGUAAAAUGACUGGGAGAAUGUAGCUCCCUUCGGGGAGUGUUAUAGACCCUGGGGGAUGCAGCCCGCGGGAUCGAGGAUUGCAGCAAAUGCUUCAGCUUGUCGUCUAUCCGUUAAACGUUACCCUGCUUGUGACAAUAUUCUUGACACUUUGUGGGACUUGACGGUUAUAGGUUAGAACGUUCUAAAAUUUGCUAAGGAUGCUGACGUAAUGGCUUUAAACGACCCGUCUUGAAACACGGACCAAGGAGUCUAACAUAUAUGCGAGUGUUU